CCAACUCAUCCACCUCACGAUUUCACAACCACUGACCUAAAAGGUCAAGUCUAAUCCUUACCACGGGUUGUGGUCUUCCAUACACACC